rnacentral:antisense_RNA from 1 species
AUCAGGCGGAAGCCGGGGCUCGGGGCUGGGCUUCGUGUCCUGGGUUCCGGGAGCGCCAACCCCUCCAGGGAGAGGCUGUCGAUGCUGAGGCACGAGAGAAUUUGCUCCUGCUCCUCCAGAGAAAAUGGCUGGGACAGGCUGUUCAGGAAUAAUUCUGCAGGGAAAAGUGGAAGAUGGAUGUGAAAGACUGGGAGAAGGCUGGCUGUGUUUUCAGGGGUUCUUCCUGCACAGUCGUUAGAAGCUGAACUGCUGGGGAAGGGGCUGGAAGAAAGCCCACACUGCAGGUAUCAGUAGCAAAUUCAAAAACUACAGAAAUCAGCUCCAGAGGACUUUGUUAACAAGAAAGAGAAGAUUGAAAACAGCCCUGGGGCUACACCAACUCAAGAGCUCCCAGGCAAAGUGGCGUCCUGGACCCACAAUCUCUCCUACCCCAUCCUCAGUCAGUACUUCCCCAGGCACCGUUCGUUCUGGCGUGGGGCGAGUUCAGCCCUGGGACCACCCUCAUCCUUAAAACUACCAGCUGUCUUUGGUGAGGUGCAAGAUCUCUCUGGUUUUCUUUAUUUCAUUUUCAUUCCUAUAAUCACAGCAUUUUUGUGCCCAUCCCUCAGGUGACAUUCUAUUAUGUUUGAUGUGUCAUUUUUUAUUUGGUUGUGUCCUUGCAAAAUAUGUGUUGUUUUAUUUAUCAGUUUUUAUUUUUUUAUUUUUUGUUUUUUUAAAGAGACGAGGUCUCAUCAUGUUGCCCAGACUGGACUCCAACUCCUGGGCUCAAGCGAUCCUUCCACCUCAGCCUUCUGAGUGGCUGGGACUACAGAUGUGUGCCACCAUACCUGGCUAUUGAUCAAUUUUUAGUUUACCAAACAGGCAUUAUGUUCUGGGUCCCAUUGUGUCGGGUUCUCUUUUCACUCGGCA